rnacentral:rRNA from 1 species
UAGUCAUAUGCUUGUCUCAAAGAUUAAGCCAUGCAUGUCUCAGAAUAAACCACUUACAAUGGGUGAAUCUGCGCACGGCUCAUUAUAUCAGGGGUAAUUGAUUCGAUACUGUUCACUUUAACGGUACCUCGUGUGCCAACCAAACGGAUAACCGCGGUAACCCCGUGGCUAAUACGUGCGGAAAAGGGCUUUAAACGGCUCGUUGUUUGCUGGCGAAAGAUCUGUGCUCUGGCUGUCGGGCAACCGGUGGCUAAGGGCGUGGUGAAUCACGGUAACUGGACCUAUCGCAGACGGCCUUAGUGUCGGGCGAUUUAUCGAUUCAACCCUUGUCCUAUCAGCUUUUGAUGGUACGUUCGUGGCCUACCAUGGCUACAACGGGUAACGGGGAAUCAGGGUUCGAUUCCGGAGAGGGAGCCUGAGAGACGGCUGCCACAUCCAAGGAAGGCAGCAGGCGCGCAAAUUACCCAAUUUUAACACAAAGAGGUAGUGACAAGAAAUAGCGGCCGGGGAUGCCUUACGGUGUUCCUGGAUCUGCAAUGGGAAUAGUUUAAACACCUUAUCGAGUAUCGAUUGGAGGACAAGUCUGGUGCCAGCACCCGCGGUAAUUCCAGCUCCAAUAGCGUAUAUUAAAGUUGCUGCGGUUAAAAAGCUCGUAGCCCGUUUGAAACGCGAUGGUUGUUUAGGGGCUGGUCUGCGUGCCGAGGGUCAAACUUCGGUGCGAUUGGGCUGGUCUCGCUUCUGUCGCCCGCUUUUACGGCGGUUGGUCGUUUCGGUCCUGCGUUGUUCAUUCGGCGUGGGGGUAACCCGAUCGAUCAGUUACCUUGAAUAAAUCGAUAUGCUCAGAAUAAGCGGCCUUCACUGGCGUCUGCUUGAACGUUUUAGCAUGGAAUAACGCAUAUGUAAAUCGAUGGUCGAUUAGCGCUUUUAGCAGGUCUUGGGCGCAUGAUUGACUGCAACCCGAUAGGGCUGACCGGGGCUCCUCGUAUCUCGUGGGGAGAGGUGAAAUUUCAGGAUCCACGGGGGACGACCAGAGGCGAAAGCAGGGAGCAAGGGCAUGCCCGUUGGUCAAGAACGAAAGUUAGGGGAUCGAAGAUGAUUAGAUACCGUCGUAGUCCUGACCGUAAACAAUACCGACUCAGUGGCGCGUGAGGCUCAGGUUCUGACGCCCGCGCCGCUGUAUGGAAACUAAAGUCUUCGGGUUCCGGGGGGAGUAUAGUCGCAAGACCGGAACUUAAAGGAAUUGACGGAAGGGCACCACCACGGAGUGGAGCUUGCGGCUCAAUUUGACUCAACACGGGAAAUCUCACGAGGGCCAGACAUUGCAAGGAUUGACAGAUUGAUAGCUCUUUCUUGAUUCGAUGGAUGGUGGUGCAUGGCCGUUCUUAGUUGGUGGGGUGACUUGUCUGGUUAAUUCCGAUAACGAACGAGAUCUUGGCCUACUAAAUAGACUUGCUUCCGCUGGCAUUUGGUUUCGGCCGAGUGUCGGGAGGUAAAGAUGCUUUACGCAUACCGUGGCUGGUUUACCGGUCGCGGUCGCUUCUUAGAGGGACUGUGGGUGAUUAACCCAAGGAAGCUCAAGGCAAUAACAGGUCUGUGAUGCCCUUCGAUGUCCUCGGCUGCACGCGCGCUACAAUGAUUGGCGCAGCGGGUAUUAACUUAUGACCUGGUUCGAAAGGACUGGGGAAUCCUAUAAUCCCAAUCGUGAUGGGGAUCGAUGAUUGCAAUUAUUCGUCUUGAACGAGGAAUUCCUCGUAAGCGCUGAGUCAUCAACUCGCGCUGAUUACGUCCCUGCCCUUUGUACACACCGCCCGUCGCUCCUACCGAUUGGAUAUCUAGGUGAAGCCUUAGGACGGCUUUGCGCUGGCUGGGGCAACCCGGUUUGGUGUAAGGCUGAAAUUCGGAUGAACCUCGCUAUCUAGAGGAAGGAGAAGUCGUAACAAGGUAUCCGUAGGGAACCUGCAGAAUCCGCGGCCUGCGCGGAGCU